GAAAGCUAUAUGCGCCAGGGGAGCNGCGGCCCAUUAUCUAAUCCUAGUUGGUAGGGUAACGGCCUACCAAGGGUACGAUGGGUAGCUGGUCUGAGAGGAUGAUCAGCCACACUGGGACUGAGACACGGCCCAGACUCCUACGGGAGGCAGCAGUGGGGAAUAUUGCGCAAUGGGCGAAAGCCUGNNNNNNNNACGCCGCGUGAGUGAUGAAGGCCUUCGGGUUGUAAAGCUCUGUCGGGAGGGACGAAGNNAGCUUGCUGCUUGACGGUACCUCGCAAGAAAGCANCGC
rnacentral:rRNA from 1 species